GUGCUCACUUUGGCAGCACAUACACUAAAAUAGGAACAAUACAGAGAAGAUUAUCAUGGCCUCUGCACAAAGAUGACACAUAAAUUUGUGAAGUAUUUCAUAUUUUU
ensembl:snRNA U6 U6 spliceosomal RNA